rnacentral:rRNA from 1 species
UGCAUCCAGUUGCCAUCGGGCGAGCCGGGCACGUCUGGAGGGACUGCCGGCGACAAGCCGGAGGAAGUCGGGGAUGACGUCAAGUCAUCAUGGCCCUUAUGUCCAGGGCGACACACGUGCUACAAUGGCCGGCACAGCGGGAAGCGAGGGGCGACCCUGAGCGGAUCCCUUGAAAGCCGGUCCCAGUUCGGAUUGCAGUCUGCAACUCGACUGCAUGAAGUUGGAAUCGCUAGUAAUCGCGGAUCAGCCAAGCCGCGGUGAAUACGUUCCCGGGCCUU